rnacentral:rRNA from 1 species
AGCGUACACGGUGGAUGCCCUGGCAGUCAGAGGCGAUGAAGGGCGUGCUAAUCUGCGAUAAGCGCCGGUAAGGUGAUAUGAACCGUUAUAACCGGCGAUACCCGAAUGGGGAAACCCAGUGUGACUCGUCACACUAUCAUUAACUGAAUCCAUAGGUUAAUGAGGCGAACCGGGGGAACUGAAACAUCUAAGUACCCCGAGGAAAAGAAAUCAACCGAGAUUCCCCCAGUAGCGGCGAGCGAACGGGGAGGAGCCCAGAGCCUGAAUCAGCAUGUGUGUUAGUGGAAGCGUCUGGAAAGGCGCGCGAUACAGGGUGACAGCCCCGUACACAAAAGCGCAUGUGCUGUGAGCUCGAUGAGUAGGGCGGGACACGUGGUAUCCUGUCUGAAUAUGGGGGGACCAUCCUCCAAGGCUAAAUACUCCUGACUGACCGAUAGUGAACCAGUACCGUGAGGGAAAGGCGAAAAGAACCCCGGCGAGGGGAGUGAAAAAGAACCUGAAACCGUGUACGUACAAGCAGUGGGAGCACAGGUUUACCUGUGUGACUGCGUACCUUUUGUAUAAUGGGUCAGCGACUUAUAUUCUGUAGCAAGGUUAACCGAAUAGGGGAGCCGGAGGGAAACCGAGUCUUAAUUGGGCGUUAAGUUGCAGGGUAUAGACCCGAAACCCGGUGAUCUAGCCAUGGGCAGGUUGAAGGUUGGGUAACACUAACUGGAGGACCGAACCGACUAAUGUUGAAAAAUUAGCGGAUGACCUGUGGCUGGGGGUGAAAGGCCAAUCAAACCGGGAGAUAGCUGGUUCUCCCCGAAAGCUAUUUAGGUAGCGCCUCGUGAAUUCAUCUCCGGGGGUAGAGCACUGUUUCGGCUAGGGGGCCAUCCCGGCUUACCAACCCGAUGCAAACUGCGAAUACCGGAGAAUGUUAUCACGGGAGACACACGGCGGGUGCUAACGUCCGUCGUGAAGAGGGAAACAAACCAGACCGCCAGCUAAGGUCCCAAAGUCAUGGUUAAGUGGGAAACGAUGUGGGAAGGCCCAGACAGCCAGGAUGUUGGCUUAGAAGCAGCCAUCAUUUAAAGAAAGCGUAAUAGCUCACUGGUCGAGUCGGCCUGCGCGGAAGAUGUAACGGGGCUAAACCAUGCACCGAAGCUGCGGCAGCGAACGUAUCACUUAAAGCGAUUCAGCGGGUUACGAUUGACGGAGCGAAGCGACGUCAAAGCGUAUACAAAGUCGAGUCGGUUUAAGGAUACGUUCGUUGGGUAGGGGAGCGUUCUGUAAGCCUGUGAAGGUGUGUCGUGAGGCAUGCUGGAGGUAUCAGAAGUGCGAAUGCUGACAUAAGUAACGAUAAAGCGGGUGAAAAGCCCGCUCGCCGGAAGACCAAGGGUUCCUGUCCAACGUUAAUCGGGGCAGGGUGAGUCGACCCCUAAGGCGAGGCCGAAAGGCGUAGUCGAUGGGAAACGGGUUAAUAUUCCCGUACUUGGUGUUACUGCGAAGGGGGGACGGAGAAGGCUAUGUUGGCCGGGCGACGGUUGUCCCGGUUUAAGCGUGUAGGCUGGUUUUCCAGGCAAAUCCGGAAAAUCAAGGCUGAGGCGUGAUGACGAGGCACUACGGUGCUGAAGCAACAAAUGCCCUGCUUCCAGGAAAAGCCUCUAAGCAUCAGGUAACAUCAAAUCGUACCCCAAACCGACACAGGUGGUCAGGUAGAGAAUACCAAGGCGCUUGAGAGAACUCGGGUGAAGGAACUAGGCAAAAUGGUGCCGUAACUUCGGGAGAAGGCACGCUGACACGUAGGUGAAGUGAUUUACUCAUGGAGCUGAAGUCAGUCGAAGAUACCAGCUGGCUGCAACUGUUUAUUAAAAACACAGCACUGUGCAAACACGAAAGUGGACGUAUACGGUGUGACGCCUGCCCGGUGCCGGAAGGUUAAUUGAUGGGGUCAGCGCAAGCGAAGCUCCUGAUCGAAGCCCCGGUAAACGGCGGCCGUAACUAUAACGGUCCUAAGGUAGCGAAAUUCCUUGUCGGGUAAGUUCCGACCUGCACGAAUGGCGUAAUGAUGGCCAGGCUGUCUCCACCCGAGACUCAGUGAAAUUGAACUCGCUGUGAAGAUGCAGUGUACCCGCGGCAAGACGGAAAGACCCCGUGAACCUUUACUAUAGCUUGACACUGAACAUUGAGCCUUGAUGUGUAGGAUAGGUGGGAGGCUUUGAAGCGUGGACGCCAGUCUGCGUGGAGCCGACCUUGAAAUACCACCCUUUAAUGUUUGAUGUUCUAACGUGGACCCGUAAUCCGGGUUGCGGACAGUGUCUGGUGGGUAGUUUGA